rnacentral:rRNA from 1 species
CUUGCCCGCUGGCGGCAUGCCUUACACAUGCAAGUCGAACGGCAGCACGGGUGCUUGCACCUGGUGGCGAGUGGCGAACGGGUGAGUAAUACAUCGGAACAUGUCCUGUAGUGGGGGAUAGCCCGGCGAAAGCCGGAUUAAUACCGCAUACGAUCCACGGAUGAAAGCGGGGGACCUUCGGGCCUCGCGCUAUAGGGUUGGCCGAUGGCUGAUUAGCUAGUUGGUGGGGUAAAGGCCUACCAAGGCGACGAUCAGUAGCUGGUCUGAGAGGACGACCAGCCACACUGGGACUGAGACACGGCCCAGACUCCUACGGGAGGCAGCAGUGGGGAAUUUUGGACAAUGGGCGAAAGCCUGAUCCAGCAAUGCCGCGUGUGUGAAGAAGGCCUUCGGGUUGUAAAGCACUUUUGUCCGGAAAGAAAUCCUUGGCUCUAAUACAGUCGGGGGAUGACGGUACCGGAAGAAUAAGCACCGGCUAACUACGUG